UUUCCCGUACGAUCAGCGAAGUAAAGCAACGUCGAGUCUGUUCAGUACCUAGAUGAGUGACCGCUUAGGAAUACCAGGUGCUGUAA